CUUCUGAGUUUGUAUCCCUAUGGUCGAAUGCACUUACUGUAAGUCGCUUUGGAUAAAAGCGUCAGCUAAAUGACAUGUAAUGUAAUUCAAGGAAAAUGCCAUUAUUUAGCUCAACUCAAAAGCACGAGUUUAAUGCUUGUGAUUUCAGCAUCUCGUCCCCACAGGGAGCGUCCUGCAGCCGUCUCCAUCGCAAUCAAGAGCAGGCCAACGCCACAGAGCCGGACUUCAAGUCGAAGGAUUGGGUGUUCCUCAACUACACGCAGGGCUGUAGUGGAGGGUAAACGCACGUAAACGCCGUUUACGCACCUCUAGAAUUUUGGAAAUAGCGUUUACGCACCUCAAAGUUCCCUGCGCCUUGUAGAUCCAUCACAACCUCCAAACUCUCACCAGACCGGUUCGCAGCCGAGUGUGAAGCGGUUGGGAUGAUGAUUAGCCCCUCUAGAUCUGAGGAAAUGGUUCUCAGGAGGAAACCGAUAGAUUGCUUCAUCUGGGUAGGGAAUGUGUCCUUACCCCAAGUGAAGAAGUUCAAGUACGUCUGGGUCUUGUUCACAAGUGAGGGGAAGAUGGAGUGUGAAUUUAGACGGAGAAUCGGAGCAGCAGGGGCGGUAUUCCACUUGCUUUACCGCACCGGUGUGACCAAAAGGGAGCUGAGCCAGAAGGCAAAGCUGUAUGUGCUUUAUAGGAAGAGCCCUUGAUCAGGUUCUUCUGAGUAGAACUCCAGCAGAUAAAAUGAGAGUUAAACCCUUAUUACUGAAAAGUCGAGUGUAAAACAAAAAACACACAUACAAUAAGUGAAGACUUACGGGAAAACAGAAAGAUGUGAAAGAGCUGUGUAUAAUUACAACAAAGCGAGAUUUUUUUUUUUUUUUUUUAAGAACUGUAGCACAUUUAGGUGUUUUUUGUCUGUUCUCUACAGUAUUCAUGUCCAGUACAUAUUUUUCCAGACAAAAAAAGAACAAAACAACACAAAACAGAUUUUUAUUUGUUGUUGCUUCAGCAGAGUUGUUUCAAGUGCGUCUAUGAACGUACAGGACGUGGCCACAG